UACGUAGGUGGCAAGCGUUGUCCGGAUUUAUUGGGUUUAAAGGGUGCGUAGGCGGGAUUAUAAGUCAGCGGUGAAAGUUUGAGGCUCAACCUUAAAAUUGCCGUUGAAACUGUUUUUCUUGAGUGUAUUUGAAGUAGGCGGAAUUUGUGGUGUAGCGGUGAAAUGCAUAGAUAUCACGAGGAACUCCGAUUGCGAAGGCAGCUUACUAAACUACAACUGACGCUGAUGCACGAAAGCGUGGGUAUCGAACAGG
rnacentral:rRNA from 1 species